AGGAGCUAGGCUGCCAUCGGGCCGGUGCAGAUACGGGGUUGCUCUUUUGCUCAUAAGAGGGGCUUCGCUGGCAGUCUGAACGGCAAGCUUGAGUCAGGACCCUUAAUUAAGAUCCUCAAUUGGCUGGAGGGCAGAUCUCGCGAGUAGGGCAACGCGGUAAAAAUAUUGCUUCGGUGGGUGACGCGGUACAGCUGCCCAAGGGCGUUCGUAACGGGAAUGCCGAAGCGUGGGAAAAAGGGAGCGCCUUUCGCAAGUUCCUGAAGGGCCUGGCUUCCCGAAAGCCCCUUGUGCUGUGUGGAGACCUCAAUGUGGCACAUGAAGAAAUUGACCUUCGCAACCCCAAGGGGAACAAAAAGAAUGCUGGCUUCACGCCACAAGAGCGCCAAGGCUUCGGGGAAUUACUGCAGGCUGUGCCACUGGCUGACAGCUUUAGGCACCUCUACCCCAACACACCCUAUGCCUACACCUUUUGGACUUAUAUGAUGAAUGCUCGAUCCAAGAAUGUUGGUUGGCGCCUUGAUUACUUUUUGUUGUCCCACUCUCUGUUACCUGCAUUGUGUGACAGCAAGAUCCGUUCCAAGGCCCUCGGCAGUGAUCACUGUCCUAUCACCCUAUACCUAGCACUGUGACACCACCCCUAAAUCACUUUGAGCCUGGGAAAUAAGCCCCCUCAACUACCAUUCCUUCUUUAAACACUCUUCAGAGAAAUCUGCAUUCUAUUUCUCAUGUAUAAAACUAGGAAUCCUCCAACCAGGCUCCUGUGAUAGAGUUCUUUUAAGCCCAAGAUUUUUUAUUUGAGGGUUUUUUGUUUUUUAAAAAAAAAUUGAACAAAGACUACUAAUGACUUUGUUUGAAUUAUCCACAUGAAAAUAAAGAGCCAUAGUUUCA
rnacentral:lncRNA from 1 species